UAAGUGGAGGUUAAAGCCAUAACUGAUAAAGAAGUAGCUUACGGUAGACAUUUUUUGUCAUUUUUGUGGUUUAGACCAUGUUCACGUUCUGUGUUCCAACAAGACUGUGGAGCGGUCUGGUUUUUGUCUCGACCAUGGUCAAAGAAUGGCCUUGUCUGAUGUUAUCCUGUGAAAUUGUUUUUAUUCCACAGAACAUGGUCCAGACGAGCUCAUAGCAACAUCAAGGUCAGUACCUAGAUGUCUGAGCUGCUUUCUCUUCCUCAGUGCUCAAUAAAUGAUAGUGAAAUCAUGGAAGGUUGAGUCAGAAGUCUUAGAAUCCAACUUGUAACUUUGCUACUGAAGUGCUGCUUAUAACUUUGGACUUGCCACUUACCUUACUUCUCAACUUCUUCAAAUGAGCGUUUUUAAAGCACUUGUUAUGCGUCUGAAACAGUAGAGCUUGGCUGUCGGUUGGAAAGAAGGUAUACAAAAAUGAACAGGACACAGUUUCCUAGGAAGACGGAUCUUAUUUUAAAACGGCAGGACACUGUACCGAGUGCUGAAUUAGGGGCACAUUAGAAGUGGGAUGGGCAGUGAGAGCAGUCGACUGACCAACGAGUGUUGGUCUGGAAGGGAGAGGUAGAGAGAUCUGACCACUUCCCAAGACCACAAGGGAAAAGAAAUGAAAUAAUUAAUGAAGAAUGCUUUUGAGAAUUGUAGAGCAUGGCAUAAUCUUAUUCUCACUAAAAUAACAUCUAUUUUUUUAAGUUUAUUUAUUUUGAGACAGAGAAUGUGUGCAUGUGCAUGGGGGAAGGGCAGAUAGAGAGAGGAAGACAGAGAAUCCCAAGCAGGCUCCUCACUGUCAGCGCCGAACCCGAUGCAGGGCUCAUUCCCACAAGUGGCGAGAUCAUGACCUGAGUCAAAAUCAAGAGUUGGACGCUCAACUGACUGAGCCACCCAGGGGCCGCAAUAACAUUUAUUUUUGUGCUAGGUACAUCCACUUUCUAAAUGUUUUAGCCAGCUUAGACCCUCUUGUUGAGAUAGGAGUAAAAUGAUCACUUCAGGUGCUUGGCCCCUGUAAAAUCAAGGCGGCCAAGGUCAUGCCCCAAAUCGCAGUAUCUUAAAACAGCAAAGGUUUAUUUACCUCUUGAUCUACCUGUCCAUUGCGUCACUGGAGAGCUUUACUCUCUUAUCAUUUUCACUCACAGACACAGACGAAUGGAGCCAUCAUCUGAAUACAAUCACUGGCAUCAAAGCAGAGAAAACAGAAUGUGGUGAAUCUGACACCAGCUUUUAAAGGUUCCCCCAUAGAAAUGAUACAUACCACUUCUGCUCACAUUUGACGGGCCAAAACAAGCCACAGGGCCACAUGAAAAAUUGAAAAAAUUGAAAAUGAAAAAUUUCAUGUGCUCAGAAAGAAGAAAUAUCAGCAAAUAGCUCUAAUGACCUCCGUGUCGCCAAGGCCAUGGUUUCUCACAAAGAUCAAGAGAAAGGAAAAGGCAUUUAAGAGAUGCUCUUUCUUAUGGGCAGGAACAGUUAGUAUCCAAUAUACUUGCAUGCUUUGGUGUUCCUACUCUUCCACUUGGAGAAAGCCAGGCCUUUUUAAUUUACUCUCUGCUGUGUAUCUCUAUGUGAUGAUAAUCAUUAUGCAACCUUCCCCUUGCCAAAUAAUAUUAAAUGCUUGAGUAUGUAUUAAAGAGGCCUUAACCAACUAUCAAUUGGAAUCUGUCACUGUACUAGGGGCUGUCGAUGCAACAAAGAAAGUUAACACGCCACAGUUAAUUUUCAAAGAAACAUGCAUUUAUUUUUUUUAGGAAAAGAUAAAAAUAUAUGAAAGGAGUAAAAAUGAUUCUAAACCGAAGUCUCUGGAUGUCAUCGCAGGCCAGAGAUUGUCAUUCACCCACUGCUAUUGUUACUCCUCACAGGUUCUAAUUCAAACCCUCUUCCCUUAAAGACAGAAAUCAAAAAUAAAGGGUAGGCAUGAGAGAGGAGUGCCCAUCCACUGGGCAUAGUCUCCCUGGCAGUGUUUCUGAAACAUGAGUCAACAGGUCCCCAGGAGGACUUUGAAUUUUCAUGGUUUCAGUUCAGGAUCCAGAAAUUCUCAUGUAAGCAUAUCCUGAAAUUGUAUUGCCACUUGAUAUCCCCUGUAUUUGUAUUUCUGUUUAUGGUACAUUGGUGCUGAGUAGAAAUACUUUAAUAUUUCAGACUAAAAAGAAAAGAAAUGGACUAGAUAUAUAAAUGAGAUGCCCAAGCUAAGUGAAGACAGUGUCCUAUCGUGUUCAAAAUGUUUCCAGAGCAUUCCAGGAAAAAGUGUAGGGGAAUUGAAUCAUUACCUCACAUGUGAAUAGACAUACCGAACUCAAAAGAACCCAUGCUGUACAGGGGCAGUGCCAUAGUCAAGUGGCAAAGACAAAACACCAUAUAGUAGUUACUAGAUUUCAUUGAUGUCAAGAGGAAAGUGGCUUUUUUGCUUCCGAUAAAAUCAGCAGAGUAUGAUGUGAUGAAAAGACCUUAGUCUUACCAAUUACUACUUAGCAAGUGAUGGUCAAUAGUGUGCCGAUAAGAGUCUAAUUAUACAACUCCAAGCACAAAUUGUUGAAAGGGAAUGUUAAUCUGAUCAUAUGACCUUAAUCAAUAAUAUGCCAAAACAGACCUUUAUCUGUGUGAGAAAUUCAUAACCUGACUUCAGUCCCCGGCUUUCUUGACUUCUGUUACCUUGAACGCUGUUGAACAAAUUCCUUCUCCUUGAAAUGUUUUCUCCCUUUGGGGUCCAUGACACGUCUCUAUUUUUCUCCUACUUGAAGAGCUCCUUCGCUUCCUCGCUGGGCUUGCUUCCCAAAUGGUACUACUCCUCAGGUUCCUUCUCAGCUGUCUUCCUCUCUGGAGUCAAUCACAUCCUCACUGUGAUUCAACUACCAAUGCAGCCAUCACUUCCAAAUCUCAAGCUCACCUGCUACUCUUGAACUUGACACCCAGAACUUCCACCUGAGUAUUUAAAAAAGCCACUGCAUAGUUUUAAAUGUCCCAAACAGAUAUUCUCUUCUUGUAAAUCUUGCAAAGGGACCAAGGAUUUCCCUAGCAAAUCAGAAAUCCUGGCUCUUUCCCUUUAGGGUUUCAAACCAAAGGGAAGGUUAUAACCCUUCUGAUGGGUUAUAACCCUUCUGAUGUGCUGGGAUGGUCCUACCUAAGUUAAGUGGCCGGAAAUAUACAAUAAUGGCCCUCAAGAAGAAAUCCACCAUCAUGACGGCAGUGGUGGUGAUGGUGGUGGUGGAGUGAAAGGGCUGGGCUGGUAAGCCAGGUCAACACCAGGGCCUGUCUGGUCUUAAGGGGAAGGUCAGUUGCUCACAAAGUGAUGAUGUUACAUCCUGUCCUGACCCACCAUCUUGGACCUUGGGGUUCCUUAAGAGAAAUAGUUGAUUAUCUGUACAUGAAAAUAUUUGUCACUAGAGUUGUAAUUGGGAACCCAGUCUCCUAUAGUGUGGAGUAACCAUCAGUAACCUCUCUCCCUCCAGUCUGUGCAGCACUAUCUGCAGUGGGUUAAGCCUCCGACCUUUAGACAUGGGAGCUGGACUUCCUGUUUUCUGAACCAGUCUCACAGAAGCAGAAGUGAGAACCUUAGGCAGUCAGAUCAGACUUCUCAAUUUCUUUUCUGAAUAACAGAAAUAAACAAGAUUGACUCAUUGGAUGAGUCAUGCGUGUGUGAUGAAAUCCCGGCCCAUGAAGUGUUUGAAGCCAGCUGCAAAGAUUCAGUCUUAAAAAGAGAGUACCGUGGACUGUAGGGGUUGGGGAGGCUCGGGAGGAAGGAAAAGAGACCAAAGCAAAACAAAGCAACAACAACACAAACAGGAAAUAGAAAGGAAGACUGAGCCAGAUUGUGGAGCCUUCAGUAAAUGAUGAAGCAAGACAGGAAGUUUGGAAGAUAACAGCAAUGUGGAAAGGAAGUGUGCAGCAGAUAGAAAUUUGUUUCAUGAUGUUCAGGAACACGAAACAUGGCUUUUAUGUUGGAUGACAAAUCAAAUCCGGCUCUAAGACCCCACUUCCUGGUUGGUGGCAUAGUUGAUGUUGGUGAUUACUGGGACUCCUAGUGCCCUCCUGUACUGAGUCCUUUAACAGAAUCCCAGGGUUUACCUGGUCAUAGGGUGGUGGCUGCCACUAUAUCACACAUUGUGCUUCCAUUGCGCAAUGUGGUUGUCCAGCCCAGCCGUGCUCCCCAGGUGGGCUGCAAUGGUGCCCGUGGUGCCCAAUGGGCGUCUCCAUUGACGGCUGCUCAACCACAGUGGACCCUCACUGGUGCGGCUGAGCCUCGUGGAUUUAGACUCCAGCCUCUAGAGAUAUCCAUUCACCCUGACGCGGGUCCAGCCAUAUCUAGGACGUGUGGAAACAGGUCAGGCUUCCAGCACGCCUGGAAUUCAUCACAGGUCAUUCACAAGUUAUUGAGCACUCCAAAGA